rnacentral:rRNA from 1 species
UAGGGAAUCUUCCGCAAUGGUCGAAGGCUUGACGGAGCAACGCCGCGUGAGUGAUGAAGGUCUUCGGAUCGUAAAACUCUGUUAUUAGGGAAGAACAAAUGUGUAAGUAACUAUGCACGUCUUGACGGUACCUAAUCAGAAAGCCACGGCUAACUACGUGCCAGCAGCCGCGGUAAUACGUAGGUGGCAAGCGUUAUCCGGAAUUAUUGGGCGUAAAGCGCGCGUAGGCGGUUUUUUAAGUCUGAUGUGAAAGCCCACGGCUCAACCGUGGAGGGUCAUUGGAAACUGGAAAACUUGAGUGCAGAAGAGGAAAGUGGAAUUCCAUGUGUAGCGGUGAAAUGCGCAGAGAUAUGGAGGAACACCAGUGGCGAAGGCGACUUUCUGGUCUGUAACUGACGCUGAUGUGCGAAAGCGUGGGGAUCAAACAGG